rnacentral:snRNA from 1 species
UUGCUUAUUUCAGCAGCACAUAUACUAAGAAUGGGACAACACAGUGAAGAUUAGAAUGGUCUCUGUGUAAGAAUGACCAUGUAACUCAGUGAAGUAUCCCAUAUUUUC